rnacentral:lncRNA from 10 species
GGAUAGCUGGUGUGGCCUGCUUUCACAAGAGGCGUCUCCCUGGAAGGGGAGGGCCAGUUCAGGUCCCCUUGAGUGGCUGGGCCAUAUUGUCAGCAGGCUCACCUCUAGAUUGCAGCAGGCAGCCUGGGAUGCCCACGCCUGCCAAGGAGGAGAUGACCUCAAGACAAGCAGCUUCCAUGCAAUACUGCAGCAAGGGCUUACUUUCCUGAGCAUUUCCCACGCUCCAAUCACUGCUCUAAUUCCUUUAGAUGUGUUAACUCACUUCCUGCUCACAAUACUUCUAUGAGACUCAGCCACUCAGGGCUGGGCCUGGCCUGACUCUAGGAGCACAAGAUGCAGCCUCUGUCCUCAGAGAUUCAAAGGUUGAGCAGACAUUGGCCACAGUCCCGGCUGGCUCCGACCGUGGCAGAGGCUGAACCAGAGCAGAGGAGGAAGCAGAGGGGUGGGCCGCAAGCUCUUCUUGGAGUCUCAGGAGCUGCAGAGAGCAAGCUGGGCUUCCUGGAGGAGGAGGCGUGAGAGUUGGGCCUUGAAGCACUCAGCAGCUGUUUCCUGAGCUGAUGUACAUCUCAUUAGUCUAUCAAGCUCCAACAGCCAAGGCCAAGGCCCCCAGAAUGAAAAACUGACGCAGCCACCCCUUCCUGUGCCAGAGACAGGAGAAGGGAGGGAGACUGACGGCCUUUGUUCUCUGAGCAAGACCGUAAAGCACUUCGCCUACAGGCCACAAGAGGGCGAUGGUGGUCCACACAUAAGAUCUUCCCAAAGAGCCAGCCAAAAACGCCUGCCUGGAGAAUCUGGAGGUUGUGAAAGGUGACUUUGUUAAGGAAGGGCGAUGGCCCUUCUCCCUGCCCCAGAGCUCUGAAAGCCUUUAAAGUGGCUUUAGCAGCGUGGUUUAAGAAUGGCUCCUUCGGUACAAGGACGGCCAUCACUGCUUCUCCUACUGUGUUUGAUGCCAGCGUUCUUCCCGUCUGCAGGGAAGGACGGAGAGUGAGGAGGGCACACAGGACGUAGCUGGCUCCUGGCCAUGGACGGUGACCGCUCUGGGGCCAGCAGGGUAGAGCUGCCUUCCUACAUCUGAGAACUCAAGGGCGAGAGGGAGGCAGGGCAGGGGAGAGGGUUGGUCUCAGUUCACAGGGCGACCCUCUGGCCCUGGUUCUGACGGCGACUCGCUGUGUAAGCUAAGGAGUGUCUCGCUCUGUACAGCGGGCAGGUGGUGGGUCUCUGCACGUCCAGCAUCUCCAGCUUUCCGUCCUCUGAGCUGUUUUGACAUGGGAGGCGCUGGCAGGGAGAGAGGGGUCACUGAUGUGGGAAGCUGGUGCAGAGCUGGGGAGUAGCUUGUGAUGCUGGAGAACCUGGAGAUGCCCCUCCCAUUCCUUGGGCCUCGACUGUCUCAUCUGUGGAAUGGGCGGGUCAGACUGGAUAAUCUCUAACCAUUGCUUCCCUUCACUUCUGUCCCAAUAAACACACACGGAGCUUUUUCGUUUGUCUUUUGUCUUUUUUUUUUUUUUUUUUUUUUUUUUAGAGACGAGGUCUCACUAUGUUGUUCCCCAGGUCUGAGUACAG